rnacentral:lncRNA from 1 species
GUUUGAGAAGUUUGUAUUUGAUUUAAACUUCUAUUCUGACAUCUUGUAACUUGAUUCAAUUAAGGGAUUGAAUCAAGGGAUUAAGGAUUGUUGGUGAGCCAGUGAAACCAACGUUGUAGGUUGUAAUUGGUAAUCCGAGAAAAACCAACGGCCACGUCCGUUUCCGCUUCGAAGAGGAAGGUUUGGAUCUUUCAAUCUUAUGUCGUGAGGGAUGUGACCUGCGUACCGAAGGAAAGCACUAAGAACCUUCUUUCCACUAUGUGGUUAUGGAACUACGGAUCACUUAGUCUACAUUCCCGCUUGAUUUUUAGAGCUCCCUUCUCCUUCUCUUCUUCGAUUUCGUCGCUACGCUUCGCAGUCCGCAUGGCCCUUAUGGGCUGGGCCACACACGUGCUACAAUGGCAAUGACAAUGGGAAGCAAGGCUGUAAGGCGGAGCGAAUCCGGAAAGAUUGCCUCAGUUCGGAUUGUUCUCUGCAACUCGGGAACACUUNNNNNNNNNNNNNNNNNNNNNNNNNNNNNNNNNNNNNNNNNNNNNNNNNNNNNNNNNNNNNNNNNNNNNNNNNNNNNNNNNNNNNNNNNNNNNNNNNNNNNNNNNNNNNNNNNNNNNNNNNNNNNNNNNNNNNNNNNNNNNNNNNNNNNNNNACAAGGAUAAUCUUUGUAAAAAAGAACUUUCUUUUCUAAAGGGGAGGACCCACAUAAGAAUAAAAGAUCUGUUUUAACAUGAAAUGGAUAUCUCCGUAUCUUUUCUUUUUGUAUACGGGUCCUAUGGGGAUUCCCCUUGGUCUAAUUUCACGACGGAGAGUCGGCGUGGCCUAAAGUGAAGAUUGGGGGGAGUAGAGCGAAAUCCCCGUCUGGGGUAUUCCAAAGGUGUAACCUAGGCAACGAAAAAGGGGCCCGAUACUUCAACUAGAGGAGCGACCUGUUGGUUCACCAAACCCCAAUAGUAUUGCAUGCUUGCUUGUGGUACCGUUGUCCCAUCCUUUUUUCUUCUUCAUCAUACAACGGAAAACACUUCGUCCAAUGCUCGGGCUUCUUCUUCGAGGUUUGGUCCUACUUUUUUUUCUUACGAAAAAGGGAGGAGAGCCUUAACCCGAAUUCUAAAGUCUUCUCUAUAAAGGACUCGAAAUACCUUACUUAUGUAUCAUUGGAAAGUGCAUUAACAUAAAUACGGCAGUAAGAAGAGGCAAUACAAAAGUGUGUAAACUAUAAAAACGAAUCGAAGUGGAUUGGCCCACACUAGCACUUCCACGUAAUAACUCUACCAAAGGCGAUCCUAUUACAGGAAUAGCUUCAGGUACACCUGUCACGAUUUUGACUGCCCAAUAACCAAUUUCGUGGAAAUUGGAAGGUUUUGCAGUCAUUGUGGAAAUUCCACUCUUGCUGCGAUUAGUACAAUGACAUUCCAAUUUUGCUGUUAUGUUGGUUAAAGAUGAAUAUAUUUUUGGUGUUUGGCUAGAUAAAACCCUUAUUGAGCACUUAUUCAGGGUUUAUUCAUAAACCAGAUACAACCUAAGAGAAAUUGGGGUGUGUUUGUGGGCAUAGAUCAAAGAAAUUUUUUUUAAAAAAAUAAAAAAGAACAUCAAAGCAAUUCAACAAAGAUCCUCGAGAAAGUUGGAUCUUUAGUACAAUUCUGCAUCUCACACUAUGGAAAACAAAGAAACGGGUCUAGUUGUAUAAUGAGUCAAACAUAACAACAUGAGAUUUUAUCAUGAAAUUCGAGAAGGUUCCCUUGUUAGAAGGUCCACUAUCUAGAGGAAGGUCAAGAGAUACAUAUGCUAUGGCAUAUAGAUCGAUCUCAAAAAUCAAAAAGAUUGGGGUUGACAGUCCAAACUUAGCUAGAGACAAAGAUGGGGCACCUCUAUACCUUUUUAGCUAGUACGAAAAUGAUUUGCAGGUGUAACAGCUGAUGAGAUGGAAGACUGGAUCCCAUAUUUAGACACAGGGUCGGCGGAACAGUCUCGAACGGGGCGGUUCCGGUCGUACCGAGCUGUCCUGACGGCGGAUCGGGACAGUUUCGGCAACGGAAACGAAAUCCAUCGCCGAAGGGGAAGAAGGAGAGGAAAAGAGAGAGCGAGCAGAGGAGGAAGGUAGAGGGAGACGAAGAAAAAGAGAGGGAGGUGGAGGCCGGCUGGCGAAGGGCCGGUGAGCCGCGCGAAGGAGGCUCCUCCGAGCUCCACAAUCGGAUCCUCUAUUUCGUUCAAAAUAGGGGUCUGGCCUCUUUUUUAUUUUUGCGACUUUUAAGUGAAGUCGAAAAAUCACAUGCCAACUUUAUUUUAAAAUCGCAAAAUUAAAAAGAUCCCAACCCCUGUUUUGAACGAAAUAGGGGAUCCAGCCGCAGAGCCCUCCUACGCCCAAGUCGCUGGCCACCACCACACUCCUCUCUCCCUCCCCCUCUCCCCCUUCUCUCUCUCUCUCUCUCUCAUUUUCUCUCUCCCGUUCACCCUCUCCCCCACCUUCUCUACUGUGUCGGUACAGGCCCAGCACAGAACGUACGAGGGCGUAUCAUUAUGUGCCGUUGGGCAACCGAUCUAGACCCCGAUUCUGGGACAGUAGACCUUGCCUAGACAGGUUUGAAAUGGAAAGAGCCCAUGGUUUGAAUUGGCAUAUGUAGGGAACUAAGAUGGGUUUUUUUUUUCCCGAGAAGAUGAUUUUAGUUGAGAGGCAUGCUUGGAGGAGUGUUACAACAUUCAUUUUGGUAUUGCAGAGUAGGGUGGUGAUGUGGCCUCUUAGAGUAAGGGUUGUCUCCUUAACUAGAUCCAAAAGGUAUGUUUGCAAGUCUCGAGGCAUGACAAGAAAAGGAUUCCUACAGGUUUUAGAGUUAAGUACAUGAAUUGAAGGACUUCAUGGUUUAAAGUUAGGCAUGAGAAUUAAGGGAUGGGGCAGCAUCAUUGUUGAUUUUCUUUAAUUUUUCAUUAAUUCUUGUAAUUUCUAGGCCCCAAAAUUAUAUUUUGGGGGCAUAUACCUAUAUUUGACCAAGCCAAGCCAAGCCUAAAUUGAUAGUAAGGGCUAAUAAUAUUAGCUCAAACACAGCCUAGCUCAGCCUUAGGCCUGAAGUCUUUAGUUUGAGCUGGACUCUUCCACUAAAACCCAUGUUCAUACAAACCCAACACAUUCUCAUGAACCUGGAGUACAUAUCGAUACCUUCGCAAUUAUGAUUCGAAGAGGUGGGGAGAAAAACAUGAUCAAAGGAUGGUAAUGAGGUUCUACUAGCAACGAGGAGAGACAUAGAAUCCAGCUUUGGCACCCAUGAAAUCAGAUCCAAACAAGAGAGGAAAAGGCAAUCAAAUUCUUGCAAUGGCAAGAAAGAGGGAAAAAUUCCAGUGUACUUGAAUGUUGUGUAAGCCACAAUUUGUUGGGAGAGGGAGGGAGGGAGGGAGGGAGGGAAGGAGAGGAGGGCAGCAAGGGUGUGGGGUUCUUACAAAGGACGGUAUGGGUUUUAAGAUAAAAUUAUAUAUUUUAAUAUAUAUAAUAAUAUAUGGUAUUUUUCAUAUUAAUUUUAUUUCAGAUUAGGUCAACCAAGCCCAUAUACUUUUUAGCAAGCUUGGCCCUGGCUUGAAUUUUAGUUAGGCCUCAAAUUCUAAGCCCAGUUUCGCCCAAACUGAUGGGCUGGAAACCUCUGCCCAAACUGAUGGGCUGGAUACCUCUGCCCAAACCUAAACAAAACUGGGCUAGGCGAGCCAGGCCAAACUUGCUCAAGUCUACAUAAGACCCCUCAAGAUAGGAGUUCUACUAUGCUAGAAAGCUAAAAAACCAACACAUCACAUAUAAAGUAUGACCAUAGUUGUCAAAAUCAGGAGUAAAAGAAAUGCGAAUGUGCAUUCAGGAAAGCAGAUAUUUUAUUUUAGUAAGAAAGUACUUAUGAAGCGGGUACAGGAUCAGGAUCUUGGAAGAUUCUGAAGCAGGUGCAUAGAAGAUUCUGGCGACUAAGAGUAUGAUGCAUUAAAAUAUGUUUUCUAUGGUGUGUGCCAAAGUGCCAUAUCCUUCCGAUCCUUGAAGUUUCUGCUUGCUAACAUGUGCACAUGUGCUGAAUCCAAACACAUCAUGUAUUUUUAACAUGAAUACUCGUGAGUGGAAAGAGUUUGAGAUUAGCUUACACUAAUAGUUUGGUCUACAAGAAAGUGACACUUUGCCAAACUUCACAAAGAAGAUAACAAACCACGUAGUGAGAAAAACUAGAAGAGACAUGAACCAACAAGCUGACACAUGAACCAAGACUGUCAUUGAUAUUAAAACAAGAAUCAUUCUAGAAGCAAAAAAAUGCCAAACUAAUUUAUGUUGACAUGGCCAACCUAUAGUCUAGCCAUUACUUGAAAGUCCACAAGCUGAUAGACCGCUAAGAUCUCGUCCAGCAAAAUAAUUCAGCCCAAUGGGUCAUUGUUAUGUUUACUUAGUAAGUCCUCAAGAAGAGUGUAUUUUUAAACUAAUCUGCACGAACCCUUUAGUUAUUAACUUGUUGGACUAAAUGUGUCUAGUCAAACAUAUCAUCAUUACAAAUAUGGUAUAAUGGUUAAACUGGUUUUGUAUCUUAGAAAGUGCCAAGGUCUUGUGGAAAGUUUUAUAGGCUUAAGAUGGUUCCAAUGAUUAAUCUGGAAGUUGGAGUUGUUAGAUGGAGUUAAAAAUUCCUUUCUCUGAUUCACCUAUUUAAGUGCAACUCUUUUGCUAUAAAAUGAGAUGAUAUAUUCAUUCAGCUUCUUGCUUCCUAGAUAUUUAUGCCUAUAUUUAAGAAAAGGUUUUGACAAAAGGAUUGAUUAGAUGAACUUAUUCCACCAUUAGCAAUGUUUAGUAAGUGCAGUGCCUAACAAAAAAUUUUCAAGUAAGGUUCACAGUACCGGAACUGGCACCUGUGCUGGUGGUACGGUAUGGAACGCCCAUGUGACAUGUCAUUCCGACAGGAACUGACAGAAAAA